rnacentral:sRNA from 1 species
AGGAAUUGUGUUUACUAGUUCUUAAAUGUUUUCAUUAAUAAGUAACAAUACUAAUACUGUGCAAAUUAGGUAGGAUACAAGUUACAUUGUGAAUAUGUAGCAAAGAUGCACACGUUAGCAUACUAUUUUUAGUUUUCCUUAAGUAAAUAACUUGCAUAUAAUAUGUGUAAUAUUGAAAAAUAAAUGUGAAGGUCACAAAUGACUAUGUAAUUAGAGUCCCCUUGCUUCCCAUAUUAAAAUAAUGGGAAGCCAAAAAGUAGAGACUUGCUUUAUUUUCAAGGUUAUAGUCUUUACUGAACAAGUAAAAAAACUGAGGCCUUCAGACUUCUAUUUCAAUGCAUGCUAUGUUUGUCCAAGUUUGGAAGAUUUCCUGACGUUUUUUAAACUACAUGAGUUACAGUGUUGUAUUUUACAGUAUUUUCCAUGUAUUUUUAUAGGUGGUCACUUUAUCUGAAUUAUAAAGAAAAUAAAUCAGUUAUUUGAAAGGGAGUCUUCUUUCACAAAGUAAAAGUCAGUUGUAUUAGGUCAUCCAAAUCUCUCUGAGAUAUAUUUUAGUUAUAGUUGGUAGCUGGCUGCAUGGUCCGCCACAGUCCAGCAUUUGCAAAUCUUUUAAAUAGAGAUAAUAUGUUCAAUUACUUAGUUGAAAUAGCAAGUAACUGUUUUUCUUGCUUAAAGAUUGUGUUUGGAGGCUUGUUUCCAGGAAUCAGUUCUGUCUAUUUGGUUUCCAGCAGGUCUCUCAGCUUCUUUCAAUGCUUCACCAGGGGCAAUAUCAGCCAAGACCAAGUUUUCGAGGAAACAAAUAUUCCAGGAGCUAUAGAUAUGCCCUUCAAGACAUGGACAAAUUUAGCUUGAAAGACAGUGGCCGUGGUGACAGUGAGGCAGGAGACAGUGA